UUACCGAAGUCGCACGUGACAUUUUGGAUAAAAACAAACAAUCCCACGUAACAAAAUAGAUAAAGAUGUUGCCGUAUCCAAGACUGUACUCAUUUGAAUCGACCUCACUUGGUCUCUAAUCACGAAGUUAGUUGCACUGAUUGUUUGUUUUUCAAAUAUAUUCAAAGUUGCAAAUUUUUUAUCAGAACACUGCUUAUGUGGACUACGCAGUAAGAACCUUCGAAAUGAGAGUCGCGCUUUUCAUUGCCGGAGUUAUAAUUGUUCAAGGAUUGCUCGACGACGACAUACCAUGUGUUAUUGACCGGACGAACAACACGUGCCCUACCGGCUAUUGCUGCGUGCGGGACCACUUCCUGUUUUCAGAGAUGUUCUGCCGGAAACUCGGAGAAACUGGAAGUCCUUGCAGCGUCCGGGCGACGGAUUUCGAGUGUCCGUGCGGCGAUGGUUUGAUAUGCGACAGUAACAUUGUAGGCCCAGGCCAUGUACAUUCACUCUUUGGACGUUGCCAUAACAACGUUAGUAUCACUACAGAAAGUACGUCUACGCCGGACACCACAACAACGCUAGAGAUUAACAGCAUACGUAAUUCUACGGAAGCGGAACCAGCUGGCCCUGGAGAAACAGCUAUUGUUGGAUAAAAUAAAGAGACACGAAGUACAUUUACAUAAGGCAUCAUUGUUUCAAACGCUUGCAACAAUGUUUAUAUGGUGUGCAGUGCAGUGUAUGUAGUGAAAUCAGUGCAUUGUGUGUUGGAUAUGUUAUCCCAAUAAAAUUGUUGUACACUU